GGAGGAGGAGGGUGUGUUACUGAAUGGUGGCUAAAGCCUCCUCGGGACGGCGCUGAGGUGAAACAGGCUGAACCCGACUGAUGUGGCUCCUCUCUCGGUUGGACCCAGUGCCCUAAGCAGCCGAUGAGAGACCCCCGGCCGCCCGGCUCGCAGGUAUCUUUUUAGUGCUGAAAUGGACACACUAAUUGUGAACCACGUGGUAAGGAGCUCCUUCUAAAAUAUGCAGUAGCCCAUUUACUGGAAUUUAACAGGCUGUGUACUUUAAAGCCUCUCUUGCCUGUAAUCAUGUGAACAAUGCUUGCAAGUCACAAUGCCAGCUUGAGAUCCAGCUCAGCACGGAACAGCAGCCCUGGAACAGCCCCCACCACUGGGCAAGGGACAGAAAGGAGAUGGUGACCUGCAGCAGGAUGAGAGAUCUCACUUACCAGGAUUUGCUCACGGUUUUGCUUCUGGCAACUAACAUUUCCAUUCUUCUCAAAGCUUCUGCAUCUGUGUCAUCAGACAAAGCCCCAUGAGUGGUGGCAGAGCAAACUGUAGCCUUCAUUUUCAAGUUCGAAGAGAAAAAAUUAUUUACAUGUCAAAAUUCCAGAACUGGCUGUUCAGAGGUCACUCUUUGUUGCCCUCUGCUAUGAACCAUUAAGGUUUUCCAAAGCUCUAAAAGAAAUGGGACAUAGUCUGGGGCAGAAAAAUCUUAUUGUUUUAAAUUUGCUUAAGUCUGAAUACAUUGCAUUAUAUGAUUUUUGUCCUACCACACUAACAAGAAAGAUGGGAUGUUUCUGUCAUUGCUUGCAUGAAUGACUACUUAAAUUGAGCUUGCAGGACAAAUGUUUGACCCUUCUUAAGUUUUGUUUUAAACUGAAGGAUAUCUUUUAAUUGAUUAGGACUUUAUACUAUUUUUAAAGGAAAAUUAUUGAUUCAUGCAAUGAAUUUUACUGUUUUAUCAGCCUUCCACCUCAGUAUUUAUAUAUAUGUUUGGUUACAAAUUUAGGUAACUGUUUAACUACAUGUUUUAACGUUGCCCUGCCUUUCUUCUUCCCUUUCCUGUUUAAGACAGGUUUUUCUGAAUCAAAUCCUUGAAUUUAGUGACGAUUAGUACAAUUUCCAGACAUAUCAGCAAGAGUUUCUGUACUAAGUGUGGGAAUGUCGAUGUUAAGUGGAAGCACAAGUAAUGACCUUUUUUUCCAUGCACAAAGGAAGCACUAAGACAUCAAGGUUAUCCAACAGAAAUUAAUAAAUGCAGCCUGGAAAGUUAUUAUUUUUCCAAACUGUGAGAGGAUCUCUGAAAUAAUAAAGAUAACAUACAACAAAAACCUGGAGAAAUUGUCUAAUUGUCUAAUUUUCUUAAAAAAUAAUAGGAAACAAAAAAAGGGCAUUUCACAGUGAAGAAAAUCUUCAGGCGGGGGAAAAAAAGAUUUGUUUGGCAGAGUGUUAGGGUAGCUUGAAAGAAAAAUCCAGGGCCUGUUUGCUGCUACUUCAGAAGUGUCUUGGGCAUUUAAUCUUAGUUGCCCUGUCUGCAAAUAGAAGAUGAUAAUGCCCUUUUUGCAGUGUUGUACAGUCUCUAGAAGUUUCACAAUGGAAGAAAGAAGUGUUUCAUAGGGUAUUUAAAAUUGCCUGUUGGACCUCCUGUUUUUAAAAUAAAAGUUGAGACUACACAUCCUGGAGGAGAUGGGUCUCUAGGGCAGUGUAGACAAUGUUAAGUAGGGUGGUUAUUUGUUUCGCUUUUUAGUUAACAGACUGAUUUUUGGUAUCCUCUCUGGAACAUGCAGGUCUCUGGAGCCUGAUAGAAAUGAGGUUUUCUGGGAAUAAAAGAGGCUUCUUUAGGAGAUCCUUUCACCAUCAGAAUUCUGUCAUCCUCACAAAAACUUGAAAUUAGUAUGGCCCAUAUCUUAGUAUUCCAGCUACUAAACUUUCAGCAACAUUUUGUCUGGCUAACAUCUUAAAUGCCAUGGCUUUCCCAUUAGAUAAGCAGGCUGAUUUCAUUACUAUUUCUUGACAGAACAAGAUUAAAAAAAAAAAAAAA